rnacentral:rRNA from 1 species
GACGAACGCUGGCGGCGUGCUUAACACAUGCAAGUCGAACGGUGAAGCGCCUUCCUUUUUGGUGGGUGUGGAUGAGUGGCGAACGGGUGAGUAAUACGUGAGUAACCUGCCCCCUUCUUCUGGAUAACCGCAUGAAAGUGUGGCUAAUACGGGAUAUUCUGGGUCUGUCGCAUGAUGGGUCUGGGAAAGGUUUUUUUCUGGUGGGGGAUGGGCUCGCGGCCUAUCAGCUUGUUGGUGGGGUGAUGGCCUACCAAGGCGGUGACGGGUAGCCGGCCUGAGAGGGUGGACGGUCACACUGAGACUGAGACACGGCCCAGACUCCUACGGGAGGCAGCAGUGGGGAAUAUUGCACAAUGGGCGCAAGCCUGAUGCAGCGACGCCGCGUGAGGGAUGGAGGCCUUCGGGUUGUGAACCUCUUUCGCCAGUGAAGCAGGCCUGCCUCGUU